rnacentral:rRNA from 1 species
GUUUGACCUCGGAUCAGGUAGGGUUACCCGCUGAACUUAAGCAUAUCAAA